GAUGAAGAACGCAGCGAAACGCGAUAGUUAAUGUGAAUUGCAGAAUUCAGUGAAUCAUCGAGUCUUUGAACGCACAUUGCGCCCCUUGGUUAUUCCAAAGGGCAUGCCUGUUUGAGUAUCAUGAACACCUCAACUCUUGUGGUUUCCCACAAUGAGCUUGGACUGUGGAGGUUUUGUUGGCCCUGUGGUCAGCUCCUCUCAAAUGGAUCAGCUUACCGGUGUUUGGUGGCAUUACGGGUGUGAUAACUAUCUACGCUCGUGGUCGUCUCCAAAUAACCUCCAGUGAUGGAGGUUCGCUGGAGCUUAUAAAUGUCUCUCCCCAGUGAAGACAGCCUUUGAACGUUCGAUCUAAAAUCAGGUAGGACUACCCGCUGAACUUAAGCAUAUCAAUAAGCGGAGGA
rnacentral:misc_RNA from 1 species